rnacentral:lncRNA from 1 species
CUGGGAUCCCCAAGUGUCCCCCUGUGGUACUCCAUUCCCAGCUUGACAACUUAAUAACACUUCAGACAGCUGAGAAUAUAAAUGGACAUUUUUCAAGUGGACAGGCUGCCAUCCUUAUCUGAAAAAGUGUGGAUUUCAGUACAGGACUGAGCAUCUUCAACAAGGAUUGUGCUUCUGGCUCCGUGACUGUUCAUUUUUGGAUAUGACACCACCUUUACCAUGACUCAGCUGCCCUACCCAUAAAAUGAAGGUAUCUAUGGUGGACAGAACCUGGCCUGAGAGCAAGACUAGUCUUGGAGCUCCCUGAAGGGCUGAGCAUCUUAAAGCUGAUCUGUAGCUCACAGCUAUGGAUGACAAAACCAUUCUGAGAUGUGCAGUCUAACUGCUCUUUGCCCCUACUGUGAAUUCUGAACAACAUUUCAAAAGUACUUUGGUGCACCUCUCCCUCACAGGGAAAUCAAAACACAGGAGUGGCAGAAUGGAUCUUGCAGACAAGUCUUUCAUCGCCCGUUGGCAUCUCAGCUGUGGGCACUGUCUGGGGAUGGAUCUCGUACCUCAGUGGUUCAGCGGCAGAAACGGGAAGAGGAGCUUUGAGGAGGAAGCCUGAAUUCAUGAGGGUCCUGGGGAGCACCAGAGGAUGUAGUGGUGAAGGGAUGAUGGAUCAAGAUGGAGCUCAAGGUAGAUUUGAGGUUCUUCUGCCUGGAGGUCUGUUUGUGAGCCAUGCAAGG